UAAAAAAUGCUGGGUUAUUUAAUCAACCCAACCGCUGGGUUAUGAAAUGUUUGACCCAUUAUGGGUUAUGUAUAUGGAUUUUGACUCAACACAUGAGUUGGAAAAAAUAACCCAUCUACCCAACAUACACCGUUGACCCAGCACGUGGGUUGUUUGUGCUUCGAACGUCAUCACAUCAUCACAAGAAGAGUCCACCACACCCGGAUCCACCACACACCGAGCGAUCUUCAAAGAGAACUUCACUUUUCAUCGAGCGAGGGAAAUAAACUAAGAUCAGGUCAGCUUUGUCAUUGACACAACAGAGUGGCAGCUGACAGACCUUGUUGAAAGAUUUCAAGAUGAGGCUACCAUCAACAGUUGAUCCCAAGAGCUGGCCCUGGGCUGAAGUUCUUCAAAAAAUUAGAGGACUUGUAAGAUCAACAUUAGAGGCACACACAGUUAUUAUUUCUAAAUAUUAAAAGGGAUAGUUUACUUUGAAAUAAAUUUUCGAUAUGUUUUAGCU